AACGAACGCUGGCGGCGUGCCUAACACAUGCAAGUCGAGCGCGAAUGGAGCAAUCCUAGUAGCGCGGCGCACGGGUGCGUAACACGUGGGUAAUCUGCCUGGGAGACCGGAAUAACCUGCCGAAAGGCUGGCUAAUACCGGAUAAGCCCACGGACUCUUCGGAGUCUGAGGGAAAAGGUGGCCUCUGUAUACAAGCUAUCACUUCCAGAUGAGCCCGCGGCCCAUCAGCUCGUUGGCGGGGUAAUGGCCCACCAAGGCAACGACGGGUAGCUGGUCUGAGAGGACGAUCAGCCACACUGGAACUGAGACACGGUCCAGACUCCUACGGGAGGCAGCAGUGGGGAAUUUUGCGCAAUGGGCGAAAGCCUGACGCAGCGACGCCGCGUGUGGGAUGACGGCCUCGGUUGUAA
rnacentral:rRNA from 1 species